rnacentral:rRNA from 1 species
GUGAGGAAUAUUGGUCAAUGGACGCGAGUCUGAACCAGCCAAGUAGCGUGAAGGAUGACUGCCCUAUGGGUUGUAAACUUCUUUUAUAAGGGAAUAAAGUGAGGGACGUGUCCCUUUUUGUAUGUACCUUAUGAAUAAGGAUCGGCUAACUCCGUGCCAGCAGCCGCGGUAAUACGGAGGAUCCGAGCGUUAUCCGGAUUUAUUGGGUUUAAAGGGAGCGUAGGUUGACGUAUAAGUCAGCUGUGAAAGUUUACGGCUCAACCGUGAAAUUGCAGUUGAUACUGUAUGUCUUGAGUGUACAAGAGGUGGGCGGAAUUCGUGGUGUAGCGGUGAAAUGCUUAGAUAUCACGAAGAACUCCAAUUGCGAAGGCAGCUCACUGGGGUACAACUGACACUGAGGCUCGAAAGUGUGGGUAUCAAACAGGAUUAGAAACCCCUGUAGUCC